CGCGCCCUGCUGGGCGGGGUGGGUCUCCUCCAGGUGGAGGCAGACGUGGCCGGGGGUGUGGCCCGGCGUCCAGAUCGCCCGGACGCGGC
rnacentral:tRNA from 1 species